UACGUAGGGAGCAAGCGUUGUUCGGAUUUACUGGGCGUAAAGGGCGCGUAGGCGGCGCGGUAAGUCACUUGUGAAAUCUCUGAGCUUAACUCAGAACGUCCAAGUGAUACUGCAGUGCUAGAGUGCAGAAGGGGCAAUCGGAAUUCUUGGUGUAGCGGUGAAAUGCGUAGAUAUCAAGAGGAACACCUGAGGUGAAGACGGGUUGCUGGGCUGACACUGACGCUGAGGCGCGAAAGCCAGGGGAGCAAACGGG
rnacentral:rRNA from 1 species